UUUCCCUCAGGAAGUGAGUUUUGUGCAUAGCAUGAGGAAGGAAUCCUGCGGGGGAAAACAGUUGCACUGUCAUCUAAUUGGAUGUUGCAUCAUGAAACAGAUUUCAUGAGGGAUGAUGGUACAGAGGGAAUUAAAGUUGCAGAGAACGUUUUUGAUACAUCACCAGUUCAUGCCAGCACAAAGAAGAAGAAAUCCCCAACACUUAAUACGAAUCUGAAACUUUCAGUGUUGUGUUGAUCUUAUAACUGAAAUGGAAAUGGUCCACAACGUUUAGGCACAAUCAAGAUGUAAGUUGUCUUCUGUAACCGAGCAGUGACUUCCUUUGUGGAUGGAGUUGUUUCACAAAACACCACUCAGGAGCCGAUCCAUAGCUGCUGCCUGAAACUUCUUAGGAAUUCAGAAUUUUUCCCUUGUUCAUAUUCCUAGAAAACUUCUUUUUUUUUCUGUCUGUGAUGCAGAGCACUGAAAUAUCAUUCAGAGGACUGAAGUCCGGAGUCCGCUUUAGAUACCUACUUAGACCAUAAAAAUGUAGGAUGGUCCUAUAGUAAAGCUGGAUCUUGAGGUUCUGAGUAUCAGAAACAGACACAUAUAUGUGUUGUAGCUUUAGGUGUUUUAUGCAAAAGGCUAUGCCUACUUGUCUUCUGACAUUGCCUUCAGCUAUUUAUCAGUAGAUCAUUAACCCUGUAGGUCCACGUGUAUGAAGUGUUCUAAUCUUAUACACUGUGAAACAAUGAACGGGUGUUCUUACUGCAAAUGGAUUAGUGCUGCUGUUGCAUAACUCUAGUACAUUGCCCAGAAAUAUAACCUUCUUUAAAGUUUUGUGGGUUUUUUCUUCUUUCCUGCAAUGUCACCCACUUUCAAAAUGAAUACUGAUUCUAACUUAAAAAAAUAACUUUCGUGUUUGAAUUCCCAAAUGUAGUAUGAAAUGUACUUUCUAGUAGGAUGUAGAGUGUGGUCGGGUACAACGUACUGUAGCACUCGGGGUUUAGACUGAAAUCAAUUAAAAAGGAAAGUCAAAUGCAGAGUAGGGUGUUCUUAGUUGUACCUUUGAAAUUUAUUUCAGCUCAGACUUUUUACAGUGUUAAUGUCUGUCUUGAAGGAGCUAGCAUAACUUUGAAAGGUUUCUGUCCUUGCUUGCUGUAAUUCAUUUGGAAGAGCAUGAGGUUUUAGAAGAGAUUUUUGUUGUUGUUGUUUUAAUUUGGGGAAAAACACUAAACAUGUUUUUGGCAAUUUUUAAAAGAAGCUAUAAUUAUGUCAAAAAUACCACAAUGAGGAAAAAUUGAGUAUGUAUAAUAGGUUUUUAAUAGAUUCAGCAUAUGGUAAAAAGGGAGCCUGAAAAGAUUUAUACAAGGACAUACUAAAUUAGUCCAGAAACAUGCAGAACUCCUUAAAAUGGAUAACACUAAAAGUCCUUUUUAGUUAUUUUUCCAAACCACGAUGAAUGACUUGGUGAAAAAUAUAUUUUUUUUUUGAACCAAACUCUGAAGUAAAAUAAGUAUGCCAGAGCUCUCGAGUGAGUUCCUUGGCAAGCCUAGUAAUAUAGCCUUCAUAUUCAUCAUGUAACUUACCUGUUCUUACAACCGUUUACAUUUAAAAUCCAUUGAGUUAAAGAAAUCAGAAGUAUCAAAGCAUGCAUGGCAAAAUAUACUAUAACAUUUGAUUUAUUAGAAAAGAGCUGUUUAUCUGCUUUAUUCCCUUAUUCUAAGAGGGAAUUAAAGUUGGG
ensembl:lncRNA